UGGGGAAUAUUGCGCAAUGGGGGGAACCCUGACGCAGCCAUGCCGCGUGAAUGAAGAAGGCCUUAGGGCUGUAAAGUUCUUUCGGUAUUGAGGAAGGUUGAUGUGUUAAUAGCACAUCAAAUUGACGUUAAAUACAGAAGAAGCACCGGCUAACUCCGUGCCAGCAGCCGCGGUAAUACGGAGGGUGCGAGCGUUAAUCGGAAUAACUGGGCGUAAAGGGCACGCAGGCGGUUAUUUAAGUGAGGUGUGAAAGCCCCGGGCUUAACCUGGGAACUGCAUUUCAGACUGGGUAACUAGAGUACUUUAGGGAGGGGUAGAAUUCCACGUGUAGCGGUGAAAUGCGUAGAGAUGUGGAGGAAUACCGAAGGCGAAGGCAGCCCCUUGGGAAUGUACUGACGCUCAUGUGCGAAAGCGUGGGGAGCAAACAGGAUUAGAUACCCUGGUAGUCCACGCUGUAAACGCUGUCGAUUUGGGGGUUGGGGUUUAACUCUGGCGCCCGUAGCUAACGUGAUAAAUCGACCGCCUGGGGAGUACGGCCGCAAGGUUA
rnacentral:rRNA from 1 species